CGGAAUUAGUGUAAUAUAACCUUUAAAAAGCACAUUUACUGCAAUGUCAAGGUCACAUGGAUUCGUCUGCACGCGAGACAAGUAGAAAAUGAAUUUUAAUGAAUGUUUUGAUGAUUUGGGUGCUAAAAUAGAUGAGAGGUGUCAAUAUUUUGGUCCAAAUGGAUGUUUUAGGUGGUUUUGGACUGUCCGGAUGGGUGGGGGACCUGGUAUGGACAAGUAAGGGUAACAUUUCCAACAAAUCUUAAAUGUAAAUAUUAUUAUGUCCAUAGAUUGAAGUUUCAGGUGGAGAGCAAGAUGAAAAAUAUGCAAAAUUACAUGCAUGCAACCCAUUUAUGCCAUUUUCUCUUUGUUUGUAGGCCUGAUCGUUUGUCCUUGAGCCGUAGAUGGUCAACAAUCUGCUAGCUGUCUUGCUCUGACUGGUGCACUGGACAUGAUUUCAAUAGUCAGCCAGACCAUGAUUGAGCUUAAGGGUUGUGCUGCGGAUGCAGCCUGUGCAGUUCCGGGAGAAAGUCACUGUCUCGGGCAAUGCGGUCUGGUAUCAGGUCUGGAUGAUCCUUGCCUGACUGCGGGUUUGUGUACACCUCAAUCCGACUCUGAGUCCUGAACAGAGGCCGCAGUGGUGCAGCGCUUGUGGACGAUCCAUCAACAUCCUGAAAGGUCAACACUACACCAAGCUGGGAAAAUUGAUCCUGAUAGUCAUCCCCAGGUAGUGGAAUGAAUGUUCACUGAACUACAGAGGAAUCACACCCAAAUGACUUUCCUGCCACGACAUUAGUGUGGCCACUCGCGUAGGAGUUCCUUAGCAAACAUGCUCUUUUGCAUGGUGACUGUGGACAUUUUUGCAAAACUUACGCUUUCAGCACUGGAUUUUAAAGAGAAUACUUAAUAAAAUGUCGCUAACAGGACUUAUUUAUAUGAGAGAGACUAUCUGGAUGCGCAUUAAGUGUCACUUUGUGUCGUAAGCUGUUGAAGGAGUGAUUUGCGCCUUUUUAAGUGUUAAUUUUGGGUAGCCGGCUUGUAUCGGCUUGAAAGCUGAAAAUUAUGCCUCUCAUCAUAAUACCAUUAAUUUUUGUAAUUGCAAUGUGUAUGUUUAGAUUGUAAGUGAAGCUUUUAAUAAUAAUUUUCUUAAAAAACAUGAUUUUAUAUGCUGUCAGUGAGUUUUUUAUUGAAAAAAGUGCUUAAAAUUUAAAAAAAGUCUCCUAUUUCAUCAAGAAAAGUACACUGAUUCACAAUCAAUACAUUUAUUUGGGCCUUUUGCUGAUAUAUUGGUGAAUUUCGCAUGCAAUGAUACCAGUUUUUGCGAUGAAAGUUACGCGUAACAAUAAUUGGAGACGCAAAAUCAGCUGUCGUCACUUAGACUAAAAAUCAUGCAUUCCGACUUGACUGCGGCCAAUUUAGUCACCGCUUUUAAUGGCCAUUUUAAGGCCUUUACCCCCAUCCGAAUGCACUGAAAUUGCAUAUUCAUUGUGGAAAUAGUUGAAAUCUCAUGUGGAGAAAGUUUGAAAAAGAUAGGACAAAAUUGAGUUCCCUUAAAGGUUACAUUACACUAAAUCAUUGUGUAUCCCUCCGUGGUCCAUUCGAAAGUAGUGCCUAUUUCUAAAGAGUUCCUUUUCUCUUCUUGAAUAUAAGCCAUUUAACAAUGUGAGACAUGUCUUUUGUGGUUAUUUGUAAUAUCCUGUAUGUGUCUGGAGUACUUUGAUGCCUUGGAUUGGAAGCUAACUUAAAAGAUGAACUUUUGAGGGUGUGUUUUCUAUUGUGUGGGGCUUUUGUCGAAAUUAGGAUUCCGAAACACGUUUUUCUACGGUGGGUUCAUUCGACAGCGAUUUACUUUCUUAGAAGUUGCGAGACGGUAUGUUUUUGAUUGCAAUUAUUGGAAGAUGACAGAUCCAUCUUUAAAAUGAUACCAGGUUCGGAAAAAUUGAUACGUCGGAAAGGCAAGAAAAAUGCUGUGAAAGUUGUCAGUUUUAUAAUGGGACCCUAUGGGAAUCGGAAUUAGUGUAAUAUAACCUGA